rnacentral:rRNA from 1 species
UGAGGAACAUGACCUUCGGCGGGGGAUAGCUGGCCCAACGGCCGGGUAAUACCGCGUACGACCACAUGGGGACAUCCCUGAGUGGUGAAAGCAGCAAUGCGCCGAUGGAGUGCCUCGCGGCCUAUCAGCUAGUUGGUGAAGUAACGGCUCACCAAGGCGACGACGGGUAGCUGGUCUGAGAGGAUGGCCAGCCACAUUGGGACUGAGACACGGCCCAGAUCCUACGGG